GAUGAACGCUAGCUACAGGCUUAACACAUGCAAGUCGAGGGACCGGCGCACGGGUGAGUAACACGUAUCCAACCUGCCCUUUACUCGGGGAUAGCCUUUCGAAAGAAAGAUUAAUACCCGAUGUAAAGGAUGGGGAUGCGUUCCAUUAGGUUGUUGGUGAGGUAACGGCGCACCAAGCCUUCGAUGGAUAGGGGAUCUGAGAGGAAGGUCGCCCACUUGUGAACUGAGACACGAUCCAAACUCCUACGGGAGGCAGCAGUGAGGAAUGUUGGUCAAUGGUCGUUAGCCGGAACCAGCCAAGUAGCGUGAAGGAUGGAGGCUUAUGGGUCGUAAACUUCUUUUAUAUAAGAAUAUGUAGUAUAUGGAUAAGGAGCGGCUAACUCCGUGCCAGCAGCCGCGGUAAUAG
rnacentral:rRNA from 1 species